rnacentral:rRNA from 1 species
UUGGAGGGCAAGUCUGGUGCCAGCAGCCGCGGUAAUUCCAGCUCCAAUAGCGUAUAUUAAAGUUGUUGCAGUUAAAAAGCUCGUAGUUGAAUUUCAGGCCUGGCUGGACGGUCCGCCCUUCGGGUGAGUACUGUCUGUGGUCGGGUCCUACCUUCUGGCGAAGCGUCAUGGCCUUAACCGGCCGUGGCGGGGAACCAGGACUUUUACUGUGAAAAAAUUAGAGUGUUCAAAGCAGGCAAUCGCUUGGAUACAUUAGCAUGGAAUAAUGGAAUAGGGCAAUGGUUCUAUUUGUUGGUUUCUAGGACCGUUGUAAUGAUUAAUAGGGAUAGUUGGGGGCAUUAGUAUUCAAUYGUCAGAGGUGAAAUUCUUGGAUUUAUUGAAGACUAACUACUGCGAAAGCAUUUGCCAAGGAUGUUUUCAUUAAUCAAGAACGAAAGUUAGGGGAUCGAAGACGAUCAGAUACCGUCGUAGUCUUAACCAUAAACUAUGCCGACUAGGAAUCGGGCGAUGUUGAAAAAAUGACGCGCUCGGCACCCUAUGGGAAACCAAAG